GAGCAAAUAUACCAAAGUUUUCAUUCAAGUUUUGUCCAUUUGAUAAACUGCCAGAAAUGGAUAUUAUGACAAGACCUCUACAAGAUAUGAUUGGAGUCAUUAGUCACGUGGGACCAUUUGAAUAUGCAAGCCCAACAUCUCAACAUAAACUCAAGAUAAUCAAAAUUCGAAACCUAGACGAACAAACACAGGAAAUACGUCUUUGGGGCAAGCAUGGCGAGGCCUUUGAUGAAGAAGCAGUACUUAAAAAGUCACAAGAAGGCACUGUAGUUGGGAUUUUUGCUGGUGUCACUGCGGGGAAUUUUUUGGGCAAACUAACAAUAUCUUCAAACUCUGC